AUACUUACCUGGCGCGGGGAUACCGUGUCAGAGAGGCAGGUGCCUCUCCGGACGAGGCUGUAAUUGCAUCGUAUGGGCUGACUCCUGCGACUACCAAAUCGGUCGGUGGCUCGAGCGCAUUUUUUGGUAGUGGGGACAAGCGUUCGCGGCUGUCCCUU
rnacentral:snRNA from 1 species